rnacentral:miRNA from 1 species
UUAAUUAAUGCAUUAAAUUACUGAAGGCCCUUGGGCACCCCAGGCCUUCAAUAAUUUAAUGCAUUUAUUGA